rnacentral:lncRNA from 1 species
AGUAUUUUCGGUCUGUCAUGGUGUGCGUGUAUUUGUUACUUUGUAUAUUUGACAUUUUGAGUAAAAAUACGUUGAUUACUCAUAUCUGCAGUCCUGCGCCUGACUCGCUACACCUAGGACCCAUUACAGAUUGGAGGAAAAUAUCUGAGAUUCCUCACCUCAAGCCUUCUCCUACUGUACAAUCCAUUCUUAAGAAGCGAAAGGAUGCAAGAUCAAUAAAGCAGAGGACCUGUCAGAGGUAAAGAACAAAUUGGAGGAAUUGGUAGACUGGCUGAGCCUACUGGGGCUGAAAAUGAUUGUUAUCAAGACAAUGGAGGACAGGGAUGGUGUGGUUGAAAUGGUGGCUCAACAAUUUGUCCAAGGGAGCAUGCAGAUGGCCUUGGAGUAGCAUUGGGAACCACCCGGACAGCUUCCGAGCACUUUUUGUGGACUCCGUAAAGCUUCCCACUGCCAGGGACCCGAGGGACCUGUUUAAAGUAACCUAUUCCAUAUCUGGCGGCAACAGGCGGUGGUUGGAGAACGAUGCCAUCUGCCACUGGUUCAACUGGCUGGCCGAUAGUAGAUCAAUUGUUCAAGAUUAUCACUAACUGCAUAUUAUUCCAUUUGUGAUUUAAAUGUGUAUUUUAAAUGUUUUACUGUGUACUCCUCAGAUGGAGAAUGUCCACCUCUAACAGUGGCGAUGGUGUUGUCAUUUGCUACUGGGGCAACAGUGGUGACACCCCGACCAUCGAAUUCCUCCACACAGCACAUGGGAGUCUUGCUAGGCAGCAGAAGAAAAAGUACCCAGAGGCAAAAACAUGUGCUGUGACACUAAGGCUCCCUCUUCAUAGCACCCACAAUGCCUUUAGGGAUUUCAUGGUUUCUGGUAUUAUGAAUUCCCCACAUUUCGGUGUUGCAUAAAUACACCUUCGCGGAAAGUGACACAAAUGUACAAGUCUGUGGGACUUGUUCUACCUUCCUUCUCC